AACGAACGCUGGCGGCGUGCUUAACACAUGCAAGUCGAACGGGGUGUUUAUUUCGGUAAACACCAAGUGGCGAACGGGUGAGUAACGCGUAAGCAAUCUACCUUCAAGAUGGGGACAACACUUCGAAAGGGGUGCUAAUACCGAAUGAAUGUAAAAGUUUCGCAUGAAGCAUUUACUAAAGGAGGCCUCUGACAUAAGCUUCCGCUUGAAGAUGAGCUUGCGUCUGAUUAGCUAGUUGGUGAGGGUAAAGGCCCACCAAGGCGACGAUCAGUAGCCGGUCUGAGAGGAUGAACGGCCACAUUGGGACUGAGACACGGCCCAGACUCCUACGGGAGGCAGCAGUGGGGAAUCUUCCGCAAUGGGCGAAAGCCUGACGGAGCAACGCCGCGUGAACGAAGAAGGUCUUAGGAUCGUAAAGUUCUGUUGUUAGGGGCGAAGGGCGAUAGUUUAAAUAAGGCUAUUGUUGACGGUACUAACGAG
rnacentral:rRNA from 1 species